UUCCCUGUAAGGAGCAUGUACAUUUUCGAGC
rnacentral:piRNA from 1 species